rnacentral:rRNA from 1 species
AUGGGCGAUGGCCCCAAGGCGGGAGCGGAGCCCGAGGCCGCCGUAUUUGAAAGGGACUACCUAGAUGACGACAACGACGAGGAAUUGGAGCCUGAAGUAACCUUAGGUGUCUUGCGAAAACCAGAGGAACCACUAGACUUUCACUCUCUUCUUCCCCAGCACUUCCCCAGUAAAGCUGGCGGUGCCCCGGCCUGGCUUGAUCCUGUCAAUUUGCCAUCUGGAAAAUCCAGUUGCUGUGACUUCUGUGGUAACCCACUGCGUUUUGUCAUGCAGGUAUACGUGCCAGAUGGGUGGAAGGAGACGACCUACCACCGGGCAUUCUUUGUGUUUAUGUGUCCAUCCAUGUCGUGCUUACAACUAGACCAGCACGAGCAGGGGAAGGACAGGGCAGCAAAUCCUAGGAGGAGUGUGAAGGUCUUCAGGUGCCAGCUACCCAGAAUUAAUGCAUUUUAUGCUGCUGAAGAGCCUAAGGGGUGCACGGGAUCACAAUGUUCAGGAGGUGAAAUUUUGUGCAGCCACUGUAGCAAAGCAAGCUACUGUUUUAGGAAGCAUCAGGAAUUGCAUUGGCACGCUAGUCACGAGAACGAUUGCUCUCAAAUACCAGGUUCACCAGAUGCUUCUAUUCUGCCAGUCGCAGCGAGAGGUUUAUUUCCUGGCCACGCAUGGCCUGAAUAUGCGGUGCAUCAUAACCCCGAGCCUCCAUGUUCGACUAGUUCUGUCAAGGAUAAUUCAGAACUGAAGAUGGAUGAUGAGGACAAUACAUGCUGGGCAACUUUCAUGGACCGUGUUUCAAGACAGAUUCAAGUCUUGAGGUACUGUGCGGAGGAAGAUGCAGAACCUCUUUGGGCAGCAUCAACUGGGUCUCUGACAUGUGAUGAUAUCCCUCUGUGCAUCUAUUGUAAUGGGCAACUUCGCUAUGAAUUUCAGCUAAUGUCUCAACUGCUCCAUUACUUCUGUGUUGAAAAUGAACAAGACCCCGUCGAUUGGGCAACAAUAGUUGUGUACACAUGUCGAGAGUCACGUGAUGAAAGUGUUAGCUACAAGGAAGAAUUUGUACGUGUUCAGUUUUCUCCGCCUACAAGAAGAACAUAUCGCAGUACUCCUUAG